ACAGACAGGUGUGUGAUGGAGUGCCCCGCGGCAAUAACAGGUGUGGUGACAGGUACCUAUCUUUCCCAGGUCGUUGUCGUGACUGGAGCGGAGGUGGCGACGGACGACUCAACCACACCUGAAGACGACCCUGAUAGCGGCUGGUCUCCCUGGUCUGACUGGUCUCUGUGCUCUAGGACCUGUGACGGAGGCGCCGCUGUGCAGACCCGCCGAUGCCUUCACUACGCUGGCUGCCGAGGGGACUCCGUGAGGUACAAGUUAUGCAAUGUAGAGCCUUGCCCUGAAGGAAGCCGGGACUUUAGAGCCGUGCAGUGCUCUGAGUACGACGGGCUGCCCCACAACGGUGCCUCCUACGAGUGGGAGCCCGCGGAGGGGAACGACCCGUGCGCCCUGACCUGCCGCGCUAAGGGAGGAGGACCCGUGGUGACCCUGAACCCACGAGUACAGGAUGGGACUCGCUGCACUCCGGGAUCCCUCGACCUGUGCAUCAAUGGAAGGUGUCAGAAAGUUGGCUGUGACCUCGUUCUGGGCUCGCAGCGGGAGGUGGACAAGUGCGGCGUGUGCGGGGGCGACGGGAGCUCCUGCAACAAGCCCUCCUACAACUGGAACAAGCGUGCCAGUGGCUCCUGCUCGGCGUCCUGCGGGGGAGGCUACCAGAUGCUGUCAGCGGUGUGUGAGGAGGAGAGCAGCGGCCGGCGGGUGUCGGAGGACCUGUGUGAUCCAUCCUCCAGACCCGUGCCCGCCAUCCUCACCUGCAACCCUCACGCCUGCCCCACCACGUGGCAGACGGGGGAGUGGGGCACCUGCUCAGUGUCCUGCGGCUCCGGUGGGUACCAGCUGCGUGAGGUGUUCUGCGCUGAGCCGAGGAACACGUCAGUAGUGCGCGUCGCCGACCACAACUGCGCCCCGCCCCGCCCACGCCACCGCCGCGGCUGCAACCCCCACAAGUGCCCGAGAUGGUAUGAUGGCAUCUGGUCCGAGUGCUCGACAACGUGUGGUGACGGAGUGCAGACAAGAGUAGUCCUGUGCCGCGAUGCCGAGGGGCGCUCCUCCCAGCAGUGUGAGGACGCCCUACGUCCCACCGACACCCGCCCCUGCCGCACCGGAGUGGCCUGCCCCCUGCCCUCCACCCUGGCACACCCCAGACACCAGCCCUACACACCACCGUGGUGGCCGGAGGAGCAGGACGCCCUAGCCAGCGAAGAGGGCCCGGCGCCGCUCCUGCCUCGCCCACAGGCCUUCCUCGGAGGUCAGCAAGUGCCCUCAGAACCCACGUUCAUAAAUGGGAACUGGAGCGCCUGCAGCGUCACGUGCGGAGAGGGCGUCAGAACACGCUCCGUCACGUGCAAGAUCUUCCUGGAAUUCUCCCGCACCGUCGCCGAGCUCCCAAAGAAGCAGUGUCCCGGGGUGCGGCCGCCAGACACCCAGCGCUGCGUCAUGCCGCCCUGCCCAGACGCCAUGACCAGACAUGAAUCUCCUGAUGGCGAGGUGAGCGACGCGGCACAUCACCGUCCUGUCAUCAGGCUGGAGGACGAAGACGAGGACAUGGACGACAGCUCAAGCAGGGACAGAAGGAUCCAUGAGACGCCCUUCCUCCCCCGCCUGGUCAAUGAAGACGAGGAGGACAUGGACGGAGCUUCGAAAACUCCAAAGUCGAAGUCAUCAAAUCAAGAUACGGAAGUGCCACAAGCGCAGGCCUACAACGACCCACACCCGGGGUUGCACUCCUACGAGGCCCCCGGUGAUACCAAACCCCGUGGAGAUCCAGUGCUGCUGUACCCUGGCGAGUACACAUCCAUCGACCUGUUCGACUCCUUGGAAGUCCCCCACGGCAGCAGGAGCUAUUCGGCGACUCCUCAGCACAAGGAUAUGAAUUCAAUAGAGAUCGACGUGAGGAGGAGGAACGAAGAAUACCCAGGAUAUUACCACGUGACGGAGGAGGACACCGCUGGCCCACACACCUACAAGUGGACCACCCUUGGCUUCGGCCUCUGCAGCGCCUCGUGUCUAGGCGGAGUACAGGAGUCAGUGGUUAAGUGUAUCAGAACUUCAGACAAAAAGAUCGUACAGCCUCAGCUCUGUGACUCCCAGAUACGGCCGGAUGUCAUAACCCGCACAUGCAACGACCAGCCGUGCCCUCCACGCUGGAACAUCUCAGAGUUCGGGCCGUGCAACAAGCCGUGCGGGGGAGGCAUACAGAGGCGGGAUGUGAAGUGCAUUCAUGAAGUGACUCGAGGAGGAACGAACACUGUCGAGGUGCCAGACAGCCUGUGCCCUCAGCCUCCCCAACUCGCUAUCCAGCACUGCAACUAUGUGGACUGCCUGCCUGAGUGGGUGCCCGGAAGCUGGUCCAAUUGUUCUGCUUCGUGUGGUGGCGGUGUGAAGACCCGAACGCUUCAGUGCCAGCAGAUCAGGGCGCAGGGGCAGUCCGAGGAGCGGCCCCAGGGGGAAUGUCCCAGCGUGAAGCCUCGCGUCGUCAGGAAGUGCAACCAGAGAGCCUGUCGCAUGGGGCGGGGAAACACGAAAAAGGCAGUUAUCAAGUCACAGGAUUAUCAGGACUUUGUUCAGAGCAACCUGUCCAACAAGCUCACGCUGAAGGUUGGCGGCAAGGCGGCAGUGUUCAGGGGCGUCAAGCUGAAGGUGAAGUGCCCUGUCAGGAACUUCAACCGAUCCCUCAUCACUUGGUGGCGUCACGGGCGGCGGGUAGGCAAGAAGGGUCCCAUCAGAACUACGCCGCGAGGGGUCCUAAAGAUCAGAGAGGUGCGCUUCCCCGACGCCGGAGUGUAUGUGUGUAAAGCCGGGGACUUAGAAGCCAACAUAACUCUUGCUGUCAAGCCAACCUCUCAUGCCAACGAGUCUUCAGGUGGCCAGUUUCCCUCCCAUGGCAGGUCUCCCAAUGAGGUGAGCCCUGGCAGGGAGUUUGUCAGGGGCUCUGCACAUGGCUCUGAAGCAGAGUGGCCAGUGAGGAAGACCAAGUCCAACAAGGGAUCCCGAGGCAGGAGACGCAAGGGUCGGCGCCGGAACAAGGGCACCAAGGGACACAGAGGCUCCCAGGGACAGGGCAGCACAGAGUCUGAGACAGCCCACCAGGAUGCCAUGCCUCCCCACAGCCAGCUGGAGCAAUUCAGAGAGGGACCAUUCAAGGCAUCUAGCAAAAACAUGCACACAGUAGAGGUGAGUAGCAGUGAGGCAACUAACACAUAUGAUGCCCCCAUCUGGCGUUCCACCCCCAAGCAGGACUACGUGUAUGCCACCAUCAACCAUGGUGGCUGGCCUCUCACUGGCCGACCGCGCCACAGCUCCACCUCCAAGGGCACCAGAGAGGAAAGGCCUCCUGUGUAUGGGACCGUCAAUCUCCACAGUAAUACUUCACGGAUCACCAGUGAGGAGAACCAAAUAGUGUAUGGCACAGUUCGGCACAACAUGCUGCCAGGGACAGAGCACUCCAGAAGAAGAAAAUGGGAAGACGGGACGCAGAUCUUUGAGGGAAACUCUAACUAUAUUGAAAAGGAAUCAGAUGCUUACCCUGACUACACAAGGCCUGAGUCAUCCGAGAACCACCUUCCCUCCUCCUCCUGGUCACGUCCCAGGCUGGGGUCUCAGUUCCACCACAGCCAUGGUGACACCCAGAGCCCUGGUCACGACACAGACCGAAGACCCAAUCCUACCUCCGAUAGUUCUCCCACUGUGCACUCCACCUCUACCACUUCCACCACCACCACCACCACCACCUUGGACCACCAUGGUCAUCAGCACCACCACCACAACCACCACCACAACAACCACCAUCUCCACCGCACCCCCACUGGCACCCCUCAAAGGCGCCAUGGAGUCUCCCUUUCCCUGACCCCAGCACCCCCCAACACCAGCUCUGGAGGUUCCCGCACUGUUCCUCCCUUCCAGAAGCUUCUUUCCAACUUGGAGAGCUUCCUUCCGGCCUCCCUCCAGGGCACCAUCAGCUCCCGGGGUGCCAGGCACAUGGACUCUCCCAUGGACGAGUUCAACAACAGGAUGUCGUCUCAUGGGUUUGUGCAGGAUGACAACACAACACGAGACCCACAUGGCAAAGGAGACAUUCUGGGCAAAGGAACAAGAGACUCACUGGAGUUUGAGUGGCAGAUGACUAAUUGGUCUGAGUGUUCUCAGACCUGUGGCUUCACCAGCAGCAGCAGCGGCUACCAGGUGAGGUCCAUCCAGUGCCUUGCCAGAGUGAAGAAUGUGACAUCACCAGUGGAUGGUGCCCUCUGUGUAGAUGCUGGCCUGGAGGCACCAGUCACCAUCCAGCGGUGCGGCUUCACAGAAUGCCCACAGUGGCACUUUGGGGGGUGGUCAGAGUGCGAAUCCUCUCGCUGCUUCACCCUCCACUAUGCCUACCAGCGGCGGGAGGUGGUGUGUAAGCUGCACAAUGGCACCAUUGUCAGCAACCUGCAGUGUGACAACCGGACGCGGCCUCGGCACCGACAGGAGUGCUACAACUACCAGUGUUCAGGAGUGUGGCGCGUCGGUGACUGGUCAGAGUGCACCGCCCCGUGUGGUGGGCAGGGAUAUCGCACACGUCUUCUUCAGUGUGUGUGGAAUGGGACCAAGAAAGCUGCUGGGAAUGCCUGCAGGGAACUGCCACGUCCUGAGGUGGUCCGCUGGUGCAAUGGUGACCCCUGCCCAGACCUCAGUAUGUAAUGUGAAGUGCUGGUCACCAAGUCAGGAACUCGGGCCAAGAGAGGUCGCCAGGUGAAGACGACAGCCAGGAAGUGAAGGGUUGUCGCGAUCGAAGCAAAUACUGCAACAUUGUCAAGAGGAUGAACAUGUGUCGCAUCCAGAGUUACCAACGGCAGUGUUGUCGAUCCUGUCCUCCCUAGCACGCUCCUUCUGCUCCCCCAUCCCUGAGCAGCAGUACUGGUGAGGCAACCCCUACCUCUGCAGUACCCACCAGCCAGGGCACCACAAGCACCACGCCCCAGCCCUGCGCCCCUCGGCCAACGCCAGAACGGGGCCAAUUCAUCCACUUUACUCUGGGGAUAAGCGAAGAAUGUUGAGUUUCAAGCCACAAAUGGUAUCAUGAGAGAAAAAAAAAACAAAAAACAAAAAAAAAACAGGCAGUGUUGAAUGGCUAUCAUUUAGCUUUAAUGAUGUUAAUUCCCUUACAAAGGACGAUGGAACAGUGAUUAAUGUGACCUUAGCUUUAAUGAUGUUAAUUCUUUAUUGUAGUGUACUGGAUUAUGGAAGUUAUUUGACUUAGCUUUAAUGUUACCGCUGGCUAAUGAUUCUGAACAGUGAGGUGCUACAAGACUCAUUAUGCCUCCAUGUGUCACCACAAAUAUUAGAUGCAAGUUGACCAUGGCUUGACAAACAGAAAGCAGCAUUUAUAGAUAAGUGAAUGGUACAUUAUAGGAGGAGAGGGCUUGGUGGGCGUUUCUUUUAAAGUACCUUUUAUGAUGUGGAAGUGCACCAUGUAAAUAUAAUUUAAAUACGUACAUCAAUUGGUAGAAAUAAGGAAGCAACAACAGGAGGCAAUCAUCUCUGUCCAGUAGCUAUAGGGUUGUUGUGUACAUGACCUAGGUUAUUAGUUUAAUAUAUUUUUUAAAUUUUAUAUUUAAAACAAAGGAAAAUAAGGACUCGACAAUUAUAUUUUGCAUAAUACUAAAAAGCUGAAUGCUAUAAACAUUACAAUUCUAUUCAAUAUGCUCUUAAAAUAUGGAGGUAUUGCUUCAUUAUUUGAUGUAACUGCUAAAUUUUGUUUUAAUGACUGGCUUAAUAAGACAAGCCGUGCAGUACCUUGUGUAGGAAGCCCCGGUACUCCUGCCACACCUGCCUGCCAGGUUUGACAUGCAGGUGGCAGAGUGGACUGAGCUGCAUUUGUGACCAAAAUAGCAUUUCAUGGAUCUCAGCUGAAAGAAAUGGAAAAAGACAAAUUAAAACAUAAUACUAUACAUUAAAGCAUGUGAUAUUUUUGUCCUUUUUCUUUUUAAAAAUCUCCAAUGACAAAAUUAUAUUUUUGUUUUUAAAAAUCUCUAAUAACAAAAUUGUAUUCUUGUGUUUCAUCAAAUAAAUUGUGGGUCCAAGUGUUAAAACCAAAUUUGGUGCAUGAAGUAAAGUACUACUGGCCGAGAUACAUAUUUCAUGAGAUUGUAUUUGAUGGUGGUUCUUGAAAAACGUGACUUCUGUGAGGAUAGGUCAAGUGCACUUAAAUAAAAGUUUAACAUUGUACUCAUUUCUGGAGUUUUCCAAAAAGACAAUUUUAAGGACACAAAUAUAUCUUUAUAUUUCUGAAGGACUUACGGCAUCCCCCUGUUGCAUGACUACUGUUAUUAACCAUACCCCCCCAAAAAAAUAAAGUACAUAAUAGCAGUCAUUUAGCAGGUGAGUGGCCCUGCACUAGUCUGAUGGGAGAGUAAGAGUGAAUGAGAGUGUGAGAGAAAGAGCAAAAGUGAGUGCUUCAGGAGAUCUUGAGGCUAAGGGGACUGGGGAUGCAGUUCCCUGCCUAGCCGAAGCACAAAUUAGCUAGGGAGAUAUAAUGAUGAAGCUGCCGUAAGAUGGCACUAGCAGCGUGCUUCAGUAAUGCUAGGUAAUACGGUUUAGAUCAGUGUUUUACGAGUCCCCUUGUGUUGUAGAGCAAUAACACUAAUCAUACAUGUACAGUAGGUAUAUCUUUAUGUAACACAUUGUAACAUAUGCAUAUGUCAUAUAUAUAUAGACUAGAGUAAGGUGGCAGCAGCAGCAAACAGUUAAUGGGUUGUUGUACCAUAUGGUUUCCUUUGCAUUUUCUGCAAUGCUGGUUCACCACCCAAUCUGCAUCAUACAAGGAACUUGGUCUUGUGGUGAUAAGUGAUAUGUGGAACUGCUCGCUCAGUGUUCACCUGUGUACUGUAACUACCAAUGUACUGGUUGUCAAGCUGAUGGGAACUCACCAUGGGACUCCAUCAACAGUAAAAAAUUAAUGAAACAAAGUAGGAGACAUGUUCAAUACUUUAAUUUCUCUUGCAAUAUUUAAUUACUCUGAGUUGUUUGUAUGUAAUGUCCAAGUAUUGCCAUAUUAUUAAGCAUUUACUCUACAGAUAUAACAGAAGACAUAUUGUAUGCAAAUUAUGUAUGGAUAACAAAAAAAUGUACAAAUACCAAACUUGCUGCACUUGACCACCUAUUCUAAAUAAAAUCUUAACGGAAAUGUGGAGAAACACCUCAGUGACAAGCAUUAUUCCACUUCUUACCACAGGACCAAGAUGUAGUCCUACUACCUCACAUUCAGUAGUUGGGUGACACCAGACUCUGCUACAGAACCCACCAAGGAGGGCAUCGCAACUCAAAAGUGCACAACAUAAGAAUGACAAGGUGGAGCAGUAAACCAAACCAAUCCUUUGCCGGUCUAAAUACUUAGAAAUAUAACGAUUCACCUUUUCAACAUCCUGUCAAUUUCACAGCUCACUUAAGUAAAUGAAUUGCUUAGUAAUAAAAUGUAUGAUUGUUUAGUUGGAGAACAUAAACAAUGAAUAACUGUAACAAUGAUCACAAAGAGAAUGAUCAUAUCAGUCAGGUGCUGCACCGUGGAUCUGGCAAUACAAACUAUACUAUAUUCAAAACUAAAUUUGACCUCACUUAACUCUUUGUGUGUGGUGCUGUUCCUCAUGAAGGUGGGCCAUGAGAACACAAUCUGUCAUUCUGCAUGGGAGUGUCACCCCAACACCAUAAGUCACUAUCUAGGCUGAAAUAGGUUGUCAUAUUCUCUUAUGCGCAUGAAUACGCAAUAUUUUGAUCAAUGUUUCUUGCAAUGCUUCAGCUUAUGUAUCUCAAUUUGGCAACAGAUGCAAGAAGCAACUUAAGGCUUACCUCAGCCUCUGGCGGCUUUCUGGAAUAACUCCAUUGGUUGUUUACUUUCACAGAAUCUUCAACAUUAGCUCUUUGCUCCUUGGAACACGGGACAGCAGUAGAGUCAGGAGUAGCAUCAGCCUCUGCAGUCAUAAAAUAGCUUUAGCUGAUUUUGCCCAUAACUGCCAGUGUGUGUGUGUGUGUGUGUGUGUGUGUAUCUGCAUAUGUGUGUUUGUUUCUCCGGCUCAUUCUUUGCCAGUAUCUCCCAAUUAAGAAAUAGAAACAAUGAGAAAAUAUACAUAUGUAUGUGUAACUUACUGUAUCCUAAAACUAGUAUGCAGAUGCUAUAUAUUUUCUUUCUCUUUUGAUAUGACUGGCUAGUACAUGAUGAGGCUGAACCGAGGGGUUUCUGAUAACCUGAUUCAUUCCCACAUGUAUGUGCCACACAAUUGUAUUAGCAGUGAUGAUAAACCAAGGCAAUGGUAUGGUUUACAUAGGAAUGAAGUUUGGGUCUGACAUCCUUACUUCCACUAAUAAACUGGAGAACUAGUAAUGUUACCUUUUUUGCUGCAAGUGUCAGCGUAUGAAGGCAUGCAAGGUAAUGAGUGGUCUUGAAUCUCUUUUAUUGUGUGUUGACUGUUUUGAACAUUAUUCUGCCUUAACAAUAUGUAUAGAAAUAUCCAGCUGUCAUAAUAGAGCAUUUACUUUAGAGAACAUAUUGUGAAGUGGUUAGAUUUUUGUGGUUCUAAAUAAGAGUUUGUCACCUUUAACAUGAGCAGCAGAUACAGUCGUGUAAGGAAAAUGUUGAGAACAAAGGCACUACAGUCAGGAUCAAUAGUUCAGUGAUACAGAACACUUGCUUCCACUGUGAUUAGUGUUUUCCCUCAAUCUCAAGUUCUCAGAUCAAUUAAGAAUCUAUCGGAGGGUCUAAAACUAAGGGAGAAACACUAAACGUAGCAGAAGUGAGUGCAGAUUACACAACUUGCAAUCCCAACUGUACAACUGCCAAAACCUGUGCACAUAUAAAUGGAUAUGGUAAAUUUCAGCCAUCAGCUCAUUAUAAUUACCAGCUGUCACCCAAGAGGCACCAUCAUUUGACUGUAAAUGUUGAUUCAGUGAUGAGGAUUUAAUCAUUAUGCUUUUUUUUUUCCUUUUCACAUGUACAGCCAUGUCAUAAUAUGCCUUGUGUUCUCAGUAUGGCAUCUGUAGACCGUGUGAAGAUGUCCUGAAGGAAAUACACACAAUAUAUAUACGUAUAUGCAUGUAACACGUACUAACAUACAUAAUUUAUUUUGAAUAUGCAGAAUAAUUUAUUUGCCCAUUGAGACUUUUGAGUACAAACUUAACUAAUAUGAGCCUAUGUUACAUAUUAUCGAUUGAGGCUUGAGGAUUUUUUGUUCUAUGAAUUUUUAUGUAAUGACUGACAGUAUUAGACAGAUAGAAGAGCUGAGGACUAUCUUAUAAGGUGUAGUAAUUAUUUUUUACCAUGAAUGCCAAUGAAGAUGUGCAUUCCUUUAGGCUAGGAAAGAAAUAUUUAUACUGCAACAAGGCCUCCCAUCAAUAUAUCUGAUAGAGCAUAAUAGAAGUAAGUCUGCAAAUUUUCCUUCCCCAAGAAUCUCACAUUAUGGAUCAGGGAGUUCCUAACCCUUUGACUGUUAAGGCCGUGGCACCUGCUACUGAGUUACCCUUCAUGAUGUUAGGGAUAAAUGAUAAAACCUUUGAAUUACUCAAUCACCUCUUUGCUGUCAGUGGUAUCGUUUGAUAUACUGUUAACUUGUACCAGAUCAAUUUAAUAAGCUUGAGAAGAACCCACAGCAGCCAAAGGAUUAAGACUGAAUGAAGGAAGGUUGGGUACAUGCAGAAUGUUGACACUCCUUCCUUGGCUGAUUAAAUAUUCCCUAUUAACCUUUUUAUUGUGUGGUUAUGAGACUUCUCUUAUUGAUACCAAGCUACAUUUAACUGAAUACUCUAUUACACACAUGCACUGUAAUGUGGAUAAGGUUCAAAGUGUAACAUGAAUCACUGAAAACCAAUUCUGUCCCACAACAUUCCACUGUUAUAAAAGAAAUUCAUUGGUCAAACAAAUAAAAAGGAAGGUGAACAUGAGAUGCAUUCAAUGAUCUUGUAUAGCAAACAUAUUCAUCACGAGUCAGCUGAACCAUGCACAAAUAGACACUCUGAACCAUAAGCUGCUAAGUUUUGAUACCUCAACAAAUCAGCAACAUGCACAUGAAGCAAUUUUCUUUAGAGUCUGUUAACCAACUGGGAACCUGUACAUACUUAUUUGUCUGUUGAAAGUAGCAGUGUUUGUCCCCCAGGUCUCCUCAAGUAACUCCUCACUACAUUAUCCUUUGCAUUUCAAUAAUGUUUUGGUUUUGCUGCCUCAACUACACCUCAACUUCUGCCUCAAGGUCACUGCCUCACCUUACAGAUUUGUACCUUGGGGUUAACAAUAGAGUUCAGAAACCCACACAGUAAGAAGUUGGUAUUUCUCCAAAGAAAUAUUCCUUGUACAAUAUAUAAGUUUGCCACAUGAAAAAAAUAGAAUAGCAAUACUUGAGCGAGUUUUAAAAUGUGUACCUAUUUCACCCAGAAUGUUAUCUGGAUUCAUUAAUACAUCAAACCCUAUUCAAGUAACCUGUGUGCAUACUUGCUGAUGAAUAUAUGAAAACAAAAACAAAAAAAAUGUAUAAUAUAAUGGUGAAAGUCAAGAGAUGAUCUGUGAGUCAGCCCAUUCCUAAAAUUUGCACUUUUGUAUCUUUUCUCUCUUGCAUCAACUACUUUUGAUGUGUUUCACAUUUCAUUAAUCUUAUGCAUUUAUGAAUUUUAUUACCUAUUUAUUUUUUAUUUACUUGGAUGUGUAGCAAAUAAACUGUACAUAUAUCACUGUAAGUGCAUUGUACAAAUAAAGCACUAGAUUAUGUAAA